CUGAAUAAUAGCCUUCUAAAACCAUCCACAUCCCAACCCCCAGAACCUGUGAACACCUUAAUUUACAUGCCAAAAGGGUUUUGCAGCUGGGAUUAAGUUUAGCAUUCGGGGAUGGGGAAAUGAUCUUGGAUGACCCACGUGAGCCCAAUGUAAUCACAGCGUCCUUGUAAGAGAGAAGCAGGAGGAUCAGUCAGAGGAAGGAGAUGUAAAAAUGGAGAGGGUCAGAGAGGAGAGGAAAUGCUACCCUGUAGCUUUGAAUACGGAGAAGAGUCUAGGAAUGCUGACAAUCUCUAGAAGCUGAAGGAGAGAAAGAAGUAAAGACAAGAAAGCAGAUUCUCCCCAGAGCCUCCAGAGUGGAACGUAGCCUUAUCAACAUCCUGACUCUAGCAAGGAAAUAUCCAGAAUCAACAAAUUCCUGAAGACAGAAAGCAGAUCGACGGUUGCCAGGCAAUGGAAGGAGAGGAGAUGGGGUGACUUUUUAAUAGACAGAAGAUUUCCUUUGGAUCAAAGAAAAUAUUCAGAGACUGAAAUAGUGGUGAGGGUUACACAACCUUGUGAACAAACUGAAUGUCUUUAAUGUCCUGGGAUGCCUUACAAGAGGCUUAAGUACACUGCUUGAGAGACCACAGGAAGAAGUCCUGACACUUCAGAGAGGGGAAGAGGAUCCAACAGAGCCCAGCUUCCUGGCAUUUUCCAGAAGACACCAAGAUGAGAGUGAAAAUGCCUUAGACCCUCCAGACCAGAUGACCCCUGCUCGAGUACUAUUGAAUGACCCCACAUGAUACCAUAUGGUGUAAUAGAAUUGCCCAGCUGAGCUCUUCCUGCAUUCCUGACUCAUAAAAUCAUGAGAUUUAAUGUAGAAGCUCAAAGUUAAACACUUAGUUUUGGGUUAGUUUGUUGUGCAGCAGUUAAGUGGAAAACUGAUCAAAGGGAUUAUUCCCAUUUCUGUUGCUGCAGAGGUUUUUCUGUGCUUCAUGGAAACUUCUCUCUCCAGGAUUCCAGAUGUGAUUCUAUAAUUGUCCCACUCAGGGGCUUAAAAUGAACAUUUGGCUGAAAGAAUUAUGGAGGCCCAUCAUCACUUGUUACAGCAAGUUUAUAAUUAAAGAG
ensembl:lncRNA